rnacentral:rRNA from 1 species
GACGAACGCUGGCGGCGUGCUUAACACAUGCAAGUCGAACGGAAAGGCCCUGCUUUUGUGGGGUGCUCGAUUGGCGAACGGGUGAGUAACACGUGAGUAACCUGCCCUUGACUUUGGGAUAACUUCAGGAAACUGGGGCUAAUACCGGAUAGGAGCUCCUGCUGCAUGGUGGGGGUUGGAAAGUUUCGGCGGUUGGGGAUGGACUCGCGGCUUAUCAGCUUGUUGGUGGGGUAGUGGCUUACCAAGGCUUUGACGGGUAGCCGGCCUGAGAGGGUGACCGGCCACAUUGGGACUGAGAUACGGCCCAGACUGCUACGGGCGGCAGCAGUGGGGAAUAUUGCACAGUGGGCGGAAGCCUGAUGCAGCAACGCCGCGUGCGGGAUGACGGCCUUCGGGUUGUAAACCGCUUUCGCCUGUGACGAAGCGUGAGUGACGGUAAUGGGUAAAGAAGCACCGGCUAACUACGUG